rnacentral:tRNA from 3 species
AAUGAUGAGCCUGAUUAAAGGACUAUCGUGAUAGGAUAAAACAUGUAGAACAAACUACCUUCAUUA